rnacentral:rRNA from 1 species
UACGUAGGCAGCGAGCGUUGUUCGGAGUUACUGGGCGUACAGGGUGUGUAGGCGGUUGUUUAAGUUUGGUGUGAAAUCUCCCGGCUCAACUGGGAGGGUGCGCCGAAUACUGAAUAACUUGGAGUGCGGGAGAGGAAAGUGGAAUUCCUGGUGUAGCGGUGAAAUGCGUAGAUAUCAGGAGGAACACCGGUGGUGUAGACGGCUUUCUGGACCGUAACUGACGCUGAGACACGAAAGCGUGGGUAGCAAACAGG